ACCUGGUUGGCUCAGUGGUUGAGCGUCUGCCUUUGGCUCAGGUCAUGAUCCCAGGGUUCUGGGAUCGAGUCCCGCAUCAGGCU
rnacentral:tRNA from 1 species